AAGACAACUCUCAACAACGGAUAUCUUGGCUCCCGAAUCGAUGAAGAACGCAGCGAACUGCGAUAAGUAGUGUGAAUUGCAGAAUUCCGUGAAUCAUCGAAUCUUUGAACGCAGAUUGCGCCCAAGGCCUCGGCCGAGGGCAUGUCUGGCUCAGAGUC
rnacentral:rRNA from 1 species